rnacentral:rRNA from 1 species
UACGGGGGGGGGGCAAGCGUUUGUUCGGAAUUACUGGGCGUAAAGGGCUCGUAGGUGGCCAACUAAGUCGGACGUGAAAUCCCUCGGCUUAACCGGGGAACUGCGUCUGAUACUGGAUGGCUUGAGUUCGGGAGAGGGAUGCGGAAUUCCAGGUGUAGCGGUGAAAUGCGUAGAUAUCUGGAGGAACACCGGUGGCGAAGGCGGCAUCCUGGACCGACACUGACGCUGAGGAGCGAAAGCCAGGGGAGCAAACGGG